CCAGGCUGCUAUCGCUGCUGCCGCUGCUGCCGCUGCUGCUGCUACCGCUACCGCCGCUGCUAGGGAUGCUGAUGCUGCCGCUGCCGGAGAUAGAUACUGAGGAUGCUCCCGCGGCCUCCCCGCCGCCCCCCUCUCCCUUUUCCACUCUUCCCUGGACGGCUUUUCCAUUCUCCUGGUGCCUCCUGCGCGGGCGCCAGCCAACCAGCCAGCCAAGGACAGGGCUCCUUCGCGGCUUCUGCGGUGCCCCACGCCGCCCACCGCCGCCGCUGAGAGGCUCCCCUCAGCCGGCGCGCCUCACCUCGAUGCCCGUCCUUCAGGUGUGGCCCUGAGCGUGGCGAUGGCACCAGUGGAUGGCUCUCUGACGCAGUGCGAUAAUUUUUCCACAGCCUAAAAUACACCCGAAAUCAUUCAUGUGGGGCAAUGAGAAGAGAGUGAAGUUUGAAGUCAGGGCUUGGGUUCAAAUUGUGACAAUUUUUAAUGCCCGUGUUGGGCUGAGUAAGUCGGUUAUCACCUCAGACCUCAGUGUUCUCCUCAGUUAAAUAAAUGAAGUAUAAAAGCAGGUUGGAAAUUUGUCACUGGAAUAAAAUAAAGGGGGAAAAAUAAGUAAAAGCAGGUUGGCAGGCAGCUAAAUGGUUCUGUGGAUAGAGAGCCCAGCUUAGAGAUAGAAGGUCCUGGGUUCAAAUAUGGCUUUGGAUAUUUCCUAGCUGGAUGACCCCGACCAAGUCAUUUAACACCUACUGCCUAGCCCUUACCACUCUUCUGCCUUGAACCGAUGCACGGUAUUGAUUCUAAGACAGAAGGUAGGGGCUUAAAAAAAGGCAGGUUGGCAUUGCCCUAACAUAGUUCAUUGGGGGGUGGAUUUGGAGGGCACCUUUAGGGAUCUGGUUUAGCCCCCUCUCUUUACAGAUGGAGAAGCGGAGGCCCAGACAGACAAAGGGAUCUGCUUCGGCACAAGCCCACAGAUCUGAUGAGUGGCAGAGCCAGGCUUUGUUUGCAGGCUUAAACUCAAGGUUCUUGUUGGCCCACCCCAUCCAUUAAAGCCCUCAAGGUUACAUUGCUUAACCCUCCAUCUCUGGUGUGCCUGGGGUGGCUGGACCUGCGAUUUCAUAGACAAGGAGACUUCUGCAGGGAGAAACUCCCCCUUCCGAUGCAUUUGGCUCUUGCCUGGCACCUUAGGCUGCUAGGAAACAUCUCCUGGCUGUGGCACCGGGGAGGGGGCAGGAGAUGUGAGAGGAGAGACUGGAGCCCAGAUUUUCCAGACCCCAGACCAGUUCUCUACCACUAAGCCCCACUGGGUCCCAGGAAUGACCAUGACAUCACAGAGUGCCUUCGCUGACUCCCGUCACUUCAUCGGGAGUCUUACCACAACCUUGAGUGCUUCCAGGCCUGGCUUGUUUAAAGGAUGAGUGAGCUGCCCAAGAAGCAUUUCCAAUUGCUCAUUCAAUGAGUCACAGUGGGCAGU